rnacentral:tRNA from 1 species
AAGGGUGUAGCUCAGUGGUAGAGCGCACGCUUAGCGUCCACGAGGUCCUGGGUUCAAUCCUCAGCACCUCCA